GAGGAGGACGCCGAAGGUGGGGCUGAUGACUGGGGUGAAGUCGUACCAAGGUAGCCGUACCGGAAGGUGCGGCUGGAUCACCUCCUAACAGGGAGACAUAAACUGAUCUUGAAUGUCUUAGUUUUUUAUGCUUAGGCCAAGAUCCUGUCACCUUAGGUCGAUCGGUACCUCAGGUUAAAAGCUCAAUUAGAAUUGAGAAUUCAAUUUUAGAUUGAUAAUUAACAUCAGUUCCUAAACUUGUCUAGGUCACACCCAGCAAUGGAAUUCCUGGGCCAUUAGCUCAGGUGGUUAGAGCGCACCCCUGAUAAGGGUGAGGUCCCUGGUUCAAGUCCAGGAUGGCCCAUUCGGUCUUGGGGGUUUAGCUCAGUUGGUAGAGCGCCUGCUUUGCAAGCAGGAUGUCAGCGGUUCGAGUCCGCUAACCUCCACUGAUCCCCCUGAAUAUCGAAGCACUUGAAGUUCUAUUGUUUUAAUGUGAUUUAGAAUUGUCCGCUGAAAGACCCUAGCUUCUUUUCAUUCCAGAUUAAAUAUAUUUUAUUUGUUCUAGGUUGAAAAGACGCUGGGCUCAAUGCAAAUUAAAAACUUGCAAUGUAGUUCAGCAGAACCUUGACAACUGCAUAGGUGAGUCUGGAAAGAAUAAAGCAUCUCAUGGAAGCUUUAUUUUCUUCCUAGGAAGAAAAUAAAGUUUGAUUCUUGAGCAAGAGCUUAGACUCUAUAGCUUGCUUUCAAUCCUUUAUGGGUUGAAAUUUUUCUUGUUUUUAAACUAUUUUUUUCUUAAACUUAUUAGUUGAUUCUAAAAAGUUCUAAAAAAAGAGUUCAAUCUCAAGGGGAAUAGUGUUAAUCACAAGCGCUAUUGAGUAUUGAUAUGGUCAAGCUACAA
rnacentral:misc_RNA from 1 species